AUUUGUCAGUCACGUUUCGUAUUGAAGCCAUAAGUUAUUGUUUAAAAGGUAUUUCUUUUCUUUUAGGCCAGAGGAGCUGCUGAUAAAGCUACCCUUGAAAUAACCAGGUACUUGGACAACAAACUGCAUCCCUAGGAUUGGAUAGAAUGACACUGCAGAUUUACUUCAUCACUGGUUCGCAAGACCAAAGAAUUCAUCUCCCCUAAGCAUGGAUGGAGAAAAUGGUGGGGGAGGGUUUCUUUACAUUUUAUCAAAUAAACUUUCUAAACUGUA